CCCAGAGCCUCCACACGCGACAGAGUACGAGAGUGACCCCACAUCUUCCCCGACUUGGACUUCUUUGGCUUUUCCAAUGACAGAUUCUGCAGCGACGGAUGAGGAUGUGUCCUGCGUCCAGGUCGAUGCGGUUGGAUUUCUUGUUGAUGGACAUGACGGCCGAGCUGACGUCCAACGAGCCCUGAACUCUUCCUCUGGGAACCUAUGAGAGCAGAGAAACCAUCAAGUACUGAAGAAUAGAGGGAGGCACCUGUCUGACUCUCACCUGUCUGGAGUGGCGAGACGACAGCGUGCUGCUGCUGCGAGAAUGUGACGGUUUGUUCCACGAUGGAGACGUUUUCUCCAAACCACUGGCCAGAGACUGGCUACGAUGGAGUGAAGAACCUCCAUGAGAAUCCAUCACUGGAACAUCAGAAGAUCACUGUAGACUAGAGAGGACAUCCUCUGUUAGAGGCCACGCCCUCCUAUAUAUUAUUAUUUUUUUCAUGCAUAGUUGUAUAGAAAAAUGUGCAGUAAAUUGUGUUUAAUUGACGUGAGGAUUUUGAGGAAGUCCUUGAAAAAUAUUCUCCCUGUAAAAUGAUGC
rnacentral:lncRNA from 1 species